UACAGAGGGGGCAAGCGUUGUUCGGAAUUACUGGGCGUAAAGGGCGCGUAGGCGCCCGCUAAGUCGAACGUGAAAUCCCCAGGCUCAACCUGGGAACUGCGUCCGAUACUGGCAGGCUUGAAUCCGGGAGAGGGAUGUGGAAUUCCUGGUGUAGCGGUGGAAUGCGCAGAUAUCAGGAGGAACACCGGUGGCGAAGGCGGGUCUCUGGGCAGUAACUGACGCUGAGGAGCGAAAGCGUGGGGAGCGAACAGG
rnacentral:rRNA from 1 species